GAGCUUGCUCCUGGAUUCAGCGGCGGACGGGUGAGUAAUGCCUAGGAAUCUGCCUGGUAGUGGGGGACAACGUUUCGAAAGGAACGCUAAUACCGCAUACGUCCUACGGGAGAAAGCAGGGGACCUUCGGGCCUUGCGCUAUCAGAUGAGCCUAGGUCGGAUUAGCUAGUUGGUGAGGUAAUGGCUCACCAAGGCGACGAUCCGUAACUGGUCUGAGAGGAUGAUCAGUCACACUGGAACUGAGACACGGUCCAGACUCCUACGGGAGGCAGCAGUGGGGAAUAUUGGAAAAUGGGCGAAAGCCUGAUCCAGCCAUGCCGCGUGUGUGAAGAAGGUCUUCGGAUUGUAAAGCACUUUAAGUUGGGAGGAAGGGCAGUAACUUAAUACGUUGCUGUUUUGACGUUACCGACAGAAUAAGCACCGGCUAACUCUGUGCCAGCAGCCGCGGUAAUACAGAGGGUGCAAGCGUUAAUCGGAAUUACUGGGCGUAAAGCGCGCGUAGGUGGUUCGUUAAGUUGGAUGUGAAAUCCCCGGGCUCAACCUGGGAACUGCAUUCAAAACUGUCGAGCUAGAGUAUGGUAGAGGGUGGUGGAAUUUCCUGUGUAGCGGUGAAAUGCGUACAUAUAGGAAGGAACACCAGUGGCGAAGGCAACCACCUGGAC
rnacentral:rRNA from 1 species